AUUUUUCUUAAAUAAAAUUAAAAUAUUUAUAAAUAUGACAAAUAAUUAAUUGUGAAAAUUUGUCCUUUACUAGUAAAAUGUGUAUUUAAAUAGAUUUAUCUUAAUUCAUGUAAAUAUGACAAAUAUAUUAAUGAAUAUUCAAAAUAAAAUUGUAUUCUUAAAAAUUGUUUUUCAAUUGAUGUUUAUAAAAUUAAAACAGUAACUCCCCCUUUACUAAGAUUUGUUCAUACAAUUGUGUAAAUGGAUUAAAAUUAUAAUUUUUAGUUGAAUGUAAUGAAGGGUAAAUAUUGGAAUAGUUAUAAUAUAAUUGUUUUGAUUAUUUUAUAUUUAUAUAUGGAAAUAUUAAUGUAAAAAUAAAAAUAUUCAUAUCAAUAUUGUUAAAAUAGUUAUUAUUGUAUUUAGUGUAAUUAUUAUUUUGUAUUAUAAUAUUAUUUUAGGGAAUUUAUAAUAUAAAUAAAUAAAUUGAAAAUAAGUAACAAACAAUAUUAAUUUAUAAUAUGACUUAAUGUGAUAAUAAUUUAUACAUAUAUAUGUGAGAAAGUUCCAAGUUAAGUGUUUUUUAUGUCAUCACUUUUGAAAAAUAAAAAAACUAGCAGUAUAUAAUACAUUUUUCCGAGAAAUUUAAUAUUUUAUUGUAGUUUGACUGUUAGGUAUCAAAGCAUUCUAGUUAGUUGAAUUUGUCUUUUUAGCCAAAACUUAUAAAAACAUAUAUUAAAUUAAAUAACAAUGAAAAAUAUAUUGUAUUAUAAGUUUUUAUUUAAUUAUGAGAUAAGACAUUAAUUACUUUAGUAUAAGUUUAUAGGAAUUAAUUUUCUAAAUUAUAUUUUUAAAUAAUCAUUUUAUUUAAAUUAACUUCUCAUAUUUUUCUUAAAUAAAAUUAAAAUAUUUAUAAAUAUGAUAAAUAGUUAUAACAAUUUGUCCUUCACUAGUAAAAUGUGUAUACAACUGGAUUUAUCUCAGUUCAUGUGAAUAUGAUAAAUGUAUUAAUGAAUAUUUAAAAUAAAAUUGUAUUAAUAAGCUUAAAUUGUAUUCUUAAAAAUUGUUUAUCACUCAAUGUUUAUAAAAUUAAAACAAUAACUCCUUUACUAAGAUUUUCUCAUACAAUUGUGUAUGAAAAUAAAAUACUAUAAUUUUUAGUUGAAUGUAAUGAGGG